ensembl:snoRNA
AGCCAGUGAUGACAAAACUAAAAAUAACUUUUCUGACACCUCGUAUGAGAGCUGGUAACAGCCUCUGAUUCUAACUCCACUCUGAGGCUC